ACGCUCGACACCUACGGGAGGCAGCAGUGGGGAAUAUUGCACAAUGGGGAAACCCUGAUGCAGCGACGCCGCGUGGAGGAAGAAGGUCUUCGGAUUGUAAACUCCUGUCCCAGGGGACGAUAAUGACGGUACCCUGGGAGGAAGCACCGGCUAACUACGUGCCACAGCCGCGGUAAUCUGAGCGGGCUGGCAAGGC
rnacentral:rRNA from 1 species